AGAGAACUAAUGAUUCAACAAUAGUUCGCGGAAGCGGUUUACGGUUUAACUUCAAGAUAGAAAUUUCAAGUUUUAAAAAUAUUUCAGUGCAAAGUCUGCUGCAAAUGCAACAGUUCGCGACCCAUUGUGGUGCACCCAUAGAGUAUGAGAUGGGCGGCGGCGGACAAUCCAUCUACUCCCUGUCGGAAAGAGCAUUUGGUCUUGAAGAUUAUCACUGAGAGAAAUUCACGAUGAUUGGCAGUAAGGUGGUA